CUGAAAUUUUUCCAGAAGAGGAAAAAAUGGAAGCAAAUCCAGGCCAGAAGCAGGCCAUGCUUGAGGACCUAUACCUACCCGCAGCUAGCUCUGGCUGGCCUGGAGCCUCCGCUGUGGGCUGGGUGUCUACUCACUGGAAGGUCCCCUGUCCUGGGAUCUACUUGCUGCUGGAGAGUGAGUUCAGCCUGAGGCUGAAGAGCAGGAAUGCCCACCAGGACACUCAUGGAAGAACGAGAAGACCCUGCAAUUAGCUUCCCCUGGGUCUGUGCCCACUGCCUGCGUUUAGACUCUCUAACCUUGCCUUAUCAGAAUUCCAAGAAUACACUGGAGAAACCAAGAGGAAACCAUGAAGAAAUGUUUUAAUUAUUGAAACUAUGGUUACAUCAGAAAAUCUUGGCAUUGGGGCCAGCUGAUCUCGGAAGAGUGUUCUAGCCACACAUCAAAAUAAACCACCAGCUGAACCCAGACUCAGAAGAAGGGUCAGUUCAGGGUGUUGCCAUGGGAAUGAUAUCCAUAUUGUCACCUGAUUUGAUAUGAAUGUUUGUUCUCGGUUUCUGAAGUCCUCAAAUAAAGAAGAUAGUGAAAAUAUUCAAGAUCAAGUUAACUCUGACAUGGAUGCGGCAUAUGUCUUAUUUAAACGUUGAAAGUUAGGCUGAGUACAAUGUUCACACAUCUCCUUCUCCUGGAGCUCAAGUAAGGCAGCCUACAACCCCUUACAGCAAAACAUUUUCCCCCAUAAAACAGUCAAUUGCUUUAACCAACAAGCACAGGGGAGAUGAGGUUUCUACCACACCUCUGUUAGAAAAUUGUUCACCUGUUGGCAGCUCAGGGAGAAAUGCUCCUCCAUCUGGCUACCUGUAUUGAACAAGAAAAUGUCAUCAAUCACAGGGAUGAAGAAGGAUUUACUCCCCUAAUGUGGGAUGUGGGCUGAGGCACACCGGCAAAUAGCUGUGGUAGAGUUCCUACUUCAGAAUGGUGCCGAUACCCAGCUUUUAGGAAAAGGUCAAGAAAGAGCCCUGCCAUUGACCUGCAGUAAAGGUUACACAGAUAUUGUCACAGGCUGCUUGACUGUGGAGUUGUUGCAAAUGAGUAUGACUGGAAUGGAUGGACACCUUUGCUCUAUGUCAUCCGUGGGAAUCACAUGAAGUAUGUAAAGAUGCUGUUAGAAAAUGGAGCUAACCCAACAGCUGAAACAGAUUCUGGCUUCAAUUCUACGGAUUUAGCUGUAGCUUUUGACUAUAGAAGUGUUCACAUCUGCUGAAGGUACUUGAAAACAUCAAGGAGUGAUGCAGCCCUUAGAAAAUGCCAUCUGCCCUUCUCUUCACUUCUGGCUCCUUAUAAAUGAUAGUUUUGUUUAUGUGUACAUUUUUACCUCAGUUUGCAAUAUUUGCUGGGCUUUAGUAGUUUUAGUAAAUAUUAUUCUAGAUAACUCACUGUUGUAUAAUGAAAUUAAUCCUGAUUUUUUAAAAAAAUAAAUGUGUUUUACUAUGUAUUUAAAGUUAUAAAUUAAUGUAUGGCAUGUAAACUCUUGUAGUACGGGUGGUUUCCUAUCUUUGUAUCACAUACUGUAAUUUGACAUCUUGAGAAAUUCCACCUUGUUUAUACUUUCGUAUAACUCUUUGACUUUGCACUGGGCUUACUGUAAGUCUGUGGUGGAAAAGAUAAUGUUCUUGUUGAAUUAAAAAUGAC
ensembl:lncRNA